GACGAACGCUGGCGGCGUGCCUAAUACAUGCAAGUAGAACGCUGAAGGAGGAGCUUGCUUCUCUGGAUGAGUUGCGAACGGGUGAGUAACGCGUAGGUAACCUGCCUGGUAGCGGGGGAUAACUAUUGGAAACGAUAGCUAAUACCGCAUAAGAGUAGAUGUUGCAUGACAUUUGCUUAAAAGGUGCAAUUGCAUCACUACCAGAUGGACCUGCGUUGUAUUAGCUAGUUGGUGGGGUAACGGCUCACCAAGGCGACGAUACAUAGCCGACCUGAGAGGGUGAUCGGCCACACUGGGAGUGAGACACGGCCCAGACUCCUACGGGAGGCAGCAGUAGGGAAUCGUCGGCAAUGGACGGAAGUCUGAGCGAGCAACGCCGCGUGAGGGAAGAAGGUCUUCGGGUCGGAAAGCUCUGUUGUAAGGGAAGAACGAGUGUGAGAGUGGAAAGUUCACACUGUGACGGUAUCUUACCAGAAAGCGACGGCUAACUACGUG
rnacentral:rRNA from 1 species